CUCACAGUGUUUUUUUCAGAGUUCCACACCAGGUCUUUGAAAGCCAGCUGGGAUGGAGUCAGCUCGGGCUGCAAGUAGGAACUCGCUCGAAACUCAUCGUCUACAACAAGGGCUGGUGACCAGGGUGAGGAACUCACCACAGACCCCUGAGAAUCCUGCACUGGAACUCUCAGGAGAAAUCCUCACCUUUCUCUAGGAGCUGGAAAAGCGUGGACGGGCGGAAUCCUGUGGGAACUGCUCCUAUGGUGAUUUUCCUGGGCAGCAACCAGCCUGGAAAGAAGGAGCAGGGAGACAUCUGGACAACCGGGAGAAGACGGAAAAGGCGGAGAAGGAACUCUUUGCUCCUUCUGAUGCAGAGUGAUGGGGACGGAGGGAUCCGCAGGGGCUUCGCUCUUCCCACGCACGGAGCAGAGCCGGGCGACUGCUGGACGAGGGUAAGACAGGGAGCGAGGGUCGGGA